rnacentral:tRNA from 1 species
GGGGCUUUAGCUCAGUGGUAGAGCGCUUGCCUAGGAAGCGCAAGGCCCUGGGUUCGGUCCCCAGCUCCA